rnacentral:rRNA from 1 species
CCCGCACAAGCAGCGGAGCAUGUGGUUUAAUUCGAAGCAACGCGAAGAACCUUACCUAGACUUGACAUCUCCUGAAUUACCCGUAACUGGGGAAGCUCUUCGGAGCAGGAAGACAGGUGGUGCAUGGUUGUCGUCAGCUCGUGUCGUGAGAUGUUGGGUUAAGUCCCGCAACGAGCGCAACCCUUAUCGUUAGUUGCUACCAUUAGGUUGAGCACUCUAGCGAGACUGCCCGGGUUAACCGGGAGGAAGGUGGGGAUGACGUCAAGUCAUCAUGGCCCUUACGCCUAGGGCUACACACGUACUACAAUGGUGGGUACAAAGGGCAGCAAAACCGCGAGGUCGAGCGAAUCUCAAAAAACCCAUCAUAGUCCGGAUUGCAGUCUGCAACUCGACUGCAUGAAGUUGGAAUCGCUAGUAAUCCCGGAUCAGCAUGCCGGGGUGAAUACGUUCCCGGGCCUU